CCUAGGGUGCAGCAGUGGGGAAUAUUGGACAAUGGGCGAAAGCCUGAUCCAGCCAUGCCGCGUGUGUGAAGAAGGCCUUCGGGUUGUAAAGCACUUUCAGUGGGGAAGAAAGCCUUGGGGCUAAUACCCUCGAGGAAGGACAUCACCCACAGAAGAAGCACCGGCUAACUCCGUGCCAGCAGCCGCGGUAAUACGGAGGGUGCGAGCGUUAAUCGGAAUUACUGGGCGUAAAGCGCGCGUAGGCGGUCUGAUAAGCCGGUUGUGAAAGCCCCGGGCUCAACCUGGGAACGGCAUCCGGAACUGUCAGGCUAGAGUGCAGGAGAGGAAGGUAGAAUUCCCAGUGUAGCGGUGAAAUGCGUAGAGAUCGGGAGGAAUACCAGUGGCGAAGGCGGCCUUCUGGACUGACACUGACGCUGAGGUGCGAAAGCGUGGGUAGCAAACAGGAUUAGAUACCCUAGUAGUC
rnacentral:rRNA from 1 species